ACUCGAGUGGCGAACGGGUGAGUAACACGUGGGUGAUCUGCCCUGCACUUCGGGAUAAGCCUGGGAAACUGGGUCUAAUACCGGAUAGGAGCCAUUUUUAGUGUGAUGGUUGGAAAGUUUUUCGGUGUAGGAUGAGCUCGCGGCCUAUCAGCUUGUUGGUGGGGUAAUGGCCUACCAAGGUGGCGACGGGUAGCCGGCCUGAGAGGGUGGACGGCCACAUUGGGACUGAGAUACGGCCCAG
rnacentral:rRNA from 1 species